AUAUUUUUUCAAUAAUUUCCUCAAUAAUUUCCUUCAUUUUUUUCCUAUAACUUAUAUUUCACAAAAUUUGUUUCAUAUUUUUUUUAAAUUCCAUUUUUUUCCUAUAACUUCUAUUUCACAAAAUUUGUUUCAUAUUUUUUUUAAAUUCCAUUUUUUUCUAUAACUUCUAUUUCACAAAAUUUGUUUCAUAUUUUUUUUAAAUUCUUUUUUUUUCCUAUAACUUCCUAAGCCAUUAUACAACAUUAAAUUAAAUUAAGUAACAUGAAACAACAUUGAACAAUAUGAAACAACAUUAAAUAACAUUAACCAACAUAAAAAUUAGACAACAUGAAUUCAAAGUUGUGUGAAUUAUAUCCCAAUAUCCACCCUAUUUAUAGCAAAAAAAAAUUCAAAUUCAACGGCUAGCUGAAGUCAGCAUGAUGUCAGCUACCAACGGCUAGCUAACGUCACUUAGCCGUUGGAUUUGAAUUUAAGUUGUAGUUUUUAAAUAAUAAAUUAUGUUUGGCCCUCGAUUGGAGACGGUUUUUUGUGAAAGGGCUAAAACGAGCCCUUUGGCCCUUUGGCCCUUGGUUGGAGACAGAGGCAAAUAUGGUCAUGUACUGUUCAUUAAAAUAUUAAUAUCUUGGAGAAUCUUAGAGGGCCAGAUGGCUAAAACGAGUCAUCUGGCCAGCCAUCGGUUAGAGAGAGUCCUCAAGAGUGGUGGUAGAGACCCUAAAUUAGGGUCUACCAUUGGAGAUACUCUUAAGGAUUGGGGGUUGAAAGAAUUAGAAUAUCUAAUUUAAAAUCAACUGGCAAUGCUCAAAAUGUUAUAAAAAAAAGUUUAUUUUUAUGCAUUACUAUGUUUUCGACGUGAUAUCCUCUCACUACAUGUAAUUUUUUGAUAAUAUGUUUACUUACAAUAAACGAGAAUUGAAAUCCUAUUGAAUCAUUUGUGUUUACUUAAAUGAUGAGUGCUAGAGAAAGUGUGAGUUUCUCCGUAAAAUCCCCAAUCCAAUACUUGAAUAUCAUGAACCAAAUCAACUAGGGCGUACAGUUGAUUUGAUUCAUUUUCCUUGAUGUCCUACCGCAUGUUAUCGGAUUCCUUACUUCUCCAAUUCCUUUAUAUAUUAAGUAAACAAUCCUUAACAUUAAGUCAUCUCAUCAUUCAACUUAUUGACAUAUCUCAAAGUAAAUCCAUAUUCACAUGUAACAGGUAUAAUCGUUUAACCAUUGCAUGUCUCUUCUAUAGUAUUCGUCAAGUGAGUAACACAAGAUCUACUGUGAGAGGAUUAGUGCAUGCACUCGUUACGUGUAAGUUUUUCUGUUGUAUCGUAUGUACAAUGUGAUAGUAAUCUCAUUCUCAAACAUGCUUUGUUUCAAGCCAAGUAACUCCAAUCAUCUUACCAAAUAAUUAUGUCUUCAGAUUUUUGCACUGCUGAAACGACUUCAGAAAUUACAGCAUGCAUGUGUGAGUGAUAAAAGAAAAUUCGCAGCAACUGAUCUCCAUAUAUUUGCUUGUCAUGGGCCAUGGCUGGUGUGUCACAUCCAGAACAAAACUACAAAGUAGGUAUAAUAUUAUUCUAAAUUUCAUUUAUGUAUGCAAAACCAACAGCUUUUGAAUAUUUCGUGGAACAAUUCGAUCUGCUUUUGUUUGUCUCUUUAUAUAUCCAGCAGGGCGCCAUGACAGCCAAACCUUCGAUCUAUAGAACCCUAGAAGGAGGAUAGGCCAAGAAAUUCUGGCCAAGCUCAAAACUGAGGCCCCACCUUAUUUUCUGCAAAAUUCUUUUGAUUAAAUUAUGAUUAUUUGCUUCUAAUAAGAUAGAUAAUGUUGGAUUUUGGGAUUCUCUUGAUGAUAUAUUUCAACUUUCAAGAGUAAUGCUUAAGAUAUGUAUAUUUCAAAGAGUAAUGUUGAAGAAACUUUUUUUUUUUUUGUUAAUACUACGAUAUAUUUGUAUUAAGAGGCGAAUAGGCUAUAUGUA
rnacentral:lncRNA from 1 species